rnacentral:rRNA from 1 species
AAAGCGUGCGCAGGCGGCUUUGCAAGACAGAGGUGAAAUCCCCGGGCUCAACCUGGGAACUGCCUUUGUGACUGCAAGGCUAGAGUACGGCAGAGGGAGAUGGAAUUCCGCGUGUAGCAGUGAAAUGCGUAGAUAUGCGGAGGAACACCGAUGGCGAAGGCAAUCUCCUGGGCCUGUACUGACGCUCAUGCACGAAAGCGUGGGGAGCAAACAGGAUUAGAUACCCUGGU